rnacentral:rRNA from 1 species
UACGUAGGGCGCAAGCGUUGUCCGGAAUUAUUGGGCGUAAAGAGCUCGUAGGCGGUUUGUCGCGUCUGCUGUGAAAACCCGCAGCUCAACUGUGGGCUUGCAGCUGAUACGGGCAGGCUUGAGUUCGGUAGGGGAGACUGGAAUUCCUGGUGUAGCGGUGAAAUGCGCAGAUAUCAGGAGGAACACCGGUGGCGAAGGCGGGUCUCUGGGCCGAUACUGACGCUGAGGAGCGAAAGCGUGGGGAGCGAACAGG